rnacentral:rRNA from 1 species
CCUACGGGAGACAGCAGUGGGGAAUAUUGGGCAAUGGGCGCAAGCCUGACCCAGCAACGCCGCGUGAAGGAAGAAGGCCUUCGGGUUGUAAACUUCUUUUGUCAGGGACGAAGAAAGUGACGGUACCUGACGAAUAAGCCACGGCUAACUACGUGCCAGCCGCCGCGGUAAUACGUAGGUGGCAAGCGUUAUUCGGAUUUACUGGGUGUAAAGGGCUUGUAGGCGGGAGAGCAAGUACGACGUGAAAUUCCAGGGCUCAACCCUGGAACUGCGUUUGAAACUGUUCUUCUUGAGUGAUGGAGAGGCAGGCGGAAUGCCGUGUGUAGCGGUGAAAUGCGUAGAUAUACGGAGGAACACCAGUGGCGAAGGCGGCCUGCUGGACAUUAACUGACGCUGAGGCGCGAAAGCGUGGGGAGCAAACAGGAUUAGAUACCCUAGUAGUC